ACCAUAAAAGAUAAUAUAUCAUCCAUAAUCAAACAUUUACCGGGGCACACUCUCAAAAUACAAUCUUUCACUCUCUCUCUAAAAGCUCGGCCGAACACCCCUAUCUUCCCUUUCAAAUUCGUUUUUCAAACCUAUCUUGAAGAUUCAAGUCCCUUCCAUGUUAGUUUCAAGUACUUUUGAUGAUCCUAAGGUGAUUUGAAGGUGUUUCAAGCAAGAACCAAGCUCCAUAUCAUCACACUUUGUCAAGAAACCCAUGAAAAUCUUGUAGGACGUAUAUAAUCAAUUUCUGGGAUUGCGGUAUUAAAAGACGCACCCAAAGGUACUUGAGUGCGGCUUCGGGAAUUAUGGCGCAUCUUGUGUUUGUUGACGCAUGUUUUGUCACUUAAAAUGUUGAACUGACUU